CUAUUGUAGUGGCGAACGGGUGCGUAACGCGUAAGAACCUACCUAUCGGAGGGGGAUAACAUUGGGAAACUAUUGCUAAUACCCCAUAAAUUUGCUGAGGAGCGAAACGGGUUAAAACCGCCGAGAGAGGGGCUUGCGUCUGAUUAGCUAGUUGGUGGGGGUAAAGGCCUCCCCAAGGCCACGAUCAGUAGCUGUUCUGAGAGGAUGAUCAGCCACACUGGGACUGAGACACGGCCCAG
rnacentral:rRNA from 1 species